AAGUGUACUUCAGGGAUCAUUUCUAUAAUUUGCCACUAGAGAAGUUUCUCUGGAUGUUUGAAUACAAGAAACUAUGAGAUCAAGUGUGUAGUCUCCUGAGCAUGAAGCUGGCUACUGCUGCUGUACUAUUGUAACUGCCUUUUGCUGUUGAUUAUUCUCUCUCUCUGGGAGAGAAUACAGUCUGAGUGGC
rnacentral:snoRNA from 1 species